GUGUGAGUGUUACGUUUUGGGAAGCCUGGUAAACAUCUGGAUGGAGAUGUUAAAUAGGACACUGAGUAUAGAAGAUCUGAGCUGGGCAAGAGCCCUUGGAAGAUGAGUCCACCUAGGAAGCAGAAGUAGCUUGAGAAAAAAUAUAACUUCAUGCCCAUGGAGUCCACAAAAAUUAAGGUGAGGAGAGCAAAGGAGAAGAAAUGACCAAGGAUACAGGAGAAGGAGUGAGAGACAGCCGCCUUCUGGAAGCCAGUGAAGGAGACGUGUGAAGGAGAACAUGAGCUGUGUCGAAGACAGCCUAUGGGCUGAGUAAGACAAUAAAACCUUGACCACUGGGUUGGUAAACACCUGUGAAAGCCUUCAGCUGUCUCAGUUCAGCAGAGGGACAAGAAGUUGAUUGGAGUUGGUUCAAGAGAGGAGAAAAGUAAAGGAUGUGGAGACGCAGUGACGGGAAAGUGCAUCCCUUCAGAGAGCUGACAAUGACUCAUUGUUCAAAGUGGAACACCUGUCAAGCUCUGGUCUUGCUGCACCUUCAUUGAUCUGAAGUCAGAAGAAGCAUGGAGGGAGACUGUCACAACAGAAUUCAUCCCAACCAUCAGGGAGAAAUGUAUUGGCAAUGGGAAAAUUAUCAUGGGAAACAAAACAGAAUGGGAAAAUUAUCAUGGGAAACAAAACAGGAAGAGUUGAUCAGCAUAAUCGCAGCGUGAUAAGAAACUUACCCCCAUGGUUGGGUGAAUUAAUCUGGAAGAUUAAAAUUAAAACAACCCUAAGUGGACUCCGUCUCAAGCAACAGCAUCAGCUUUUAUCAAUGUUUCUUGAGUAUGUCCUUGGGUAAAGUGGCGAUCAAAUCUUAAUCUUGGCAUAGUGGUUGUUUCUUAUGUUAUUCAUAUAAAUUUAUGGCAUCAGUGGUUUUUAUUUGCCAGUGGGAGAAAAUGU
ensembl:lncRNA